CUGCCGGUGUCAAACCGGAGGAAGUGGGGAUGACGUCAAGUCCUCAUGGCCUUUAUGACCAGGGCUACACACGUACUACAAUGGCCGGUACAAAGGGCAGCGACACAGCGAUGUGAAGCGAAUCCCGAAAAGCCGGUCUCAGUCCGGAUUGGAGUCUGCAGCUCGACUCCAUGAAGUUGGAAUCGCUAGUAAUCGCGGAUCAGCACGCCGCGGUGAAUACGUUCCCGGGCCUU
rnacentral:rRNA from 1 species